rnacentral:rRNA from 1 species
GCCGAAGAUGUCCGGGGCUAAAGUACGGAACCGAAGCUUUGGCAAUUAACAUAAGUUAAUUGGGUAGGGGAGCGUUCCUGCAUGGGAGAAGCCUGACCGGAAGGACAGGUGGACAGGCAGGAAGAGAGAAUGCCGGUAUGAGUAGCGAAAAGAAGGGUGAGAAUCCCUUCCACCGAAAGCCUAAGGGUUCCUGGGCAACGAUCGUCGUCCCAGGGUAAGUCGGGACCUAAUCCGAGGCGGAGACGCGUAGGAGAUGGACAACAGGUUGAAAUUCCUGUACUGGCUGAGGCCGUUUGAGCGAAGGAGUGACACAGGAAGGAAGGCGCGCGUGCGAAUGGAAGAGCACGUCCAAGCAGGUAGGUCGGGAGACAGGCAAAUCCGUUUCCCAUAAGGCCGAGAUGCGAUGGGGAGCUUCUGGAGACAGAAGCGAAGGGGCUGGCACUAAACUGUCGAGAAAAGCUUCUAGUGAGGACUCAGGCACCCGUACCGAAACCGACACAGGUAGGCAGGAUGAGAAUUCUAAGGUGCGCGGGAAAACCCUCGUUAAGGAACUCGGCAAAAUAUAUCCGUAACUUCGGGAAAAGGAUAACCCAGCGUACGUGAAGUGCAGAAGCGCAUGGAGCGGAGAUGGGUGGCAGAAGAGAGGCCCAAGCGACUGUUUACCACAAACACAGGCGUCUGCUAAAGCGAAAGCUGAUGUAUAGAUGCUGACACCUGCCCGGUGCUGGAAGGUUAAGAGGAAGUGUUAGCGCAAGCGAAGCAGUGAAUUGAAGCCCCAGUAAACGGCGGCCGUAACUAUAACGGUCCUAAGGUAGCGAAAUUCCUUGUCGGGUAAGUUCCGACCCGCACGAAAGGUGUAACGAUUUGGGCACUGUCUCAACGAGGGACCCGGUGAAAUUGAAGUACCUGUGAAGAUGCAGGUUACCCGCGACUGGACAGAAAGACCCCAUGGAGCUUUACUGUAACCUGAGAUUGGAUUCCGGUAAGAGAUGUACAGGAUAGUUGGGAGGCUGAGAAGUGAGUACGCCAGUAUUCACGGAGCCGCUGGUGGGAUACCAACCUUGUUUUAUUGGAAUUCUAACGAGAAGCGUAACGAGCUUGCGGACAGUCUCAGGCGGGCAGUUUGACUGGGGCGGUCGCCUCCGAAAGAGUAACGGAGGCGCCCAAAGGUUCCCUCAGCGCGGACGGAAACCGCGCGAAGAGUGCAAAGGCAGAAGGGAGCUUGACUGCGAGACGGACAGGUCGAGCAGGGACGAAAGUCGGGCUUAGUGAUCCGGUGGUAGAGAGUGGAAUUGCCAUCGCUCAACGGAUAAAAGCUACCCUGGGGAUAACAGGCUUAUCUCUCCCAAGAGUCCAUAUCGACGGGGAGGUUUGGCACCUCGAUGUCGGCUCAUCACAUCCUGGGGCUGAAGUAGGUCCCAAGGGUUGGGCUGUUCGCCCAUUAAAGUGGUACGCGAGCUGGGUUCAGAACGUCGUGAGACAGUUCGGUCCCUAUCCAUCGCGGGCGUAAGAAACUUGAAAGGGGCUGCUCCUAGUACGAGAGGACCGGAGUGGACCGACCAAUGGUGUACCAGUCAUGGCGCCAGCCGUGCAGCUGGGUAGCUACGUCGGGGACGGAUAAACGCUGAAAGCAUCUAAGCGUGAAACCAGCCUAGAGAUGAGGUUUCUCAUUGUUUUAACAAGUAAGGUCCCACAAAGACGAUGUGGUUGAUAGGCCGGGAGUGGAAGUACAGCGAUGUACGGAGCGGACCGGUACUAAUAGACCGAGGACUUGACUUA